rnacentral:lncRNA from 1 species
AUGCCAGAAUGCCGUGCGACCCCUGGACCAGUUCUCAUCGCCUCCAUUUUCCCUUGGCCCGCAAACCGCCCCACCUCCGCGCUACCCUUUUCGGGGCUGCGUCCCACCCACCCGCAAACCCAGCUCAACCCCGCCCCCGCUCGCCUCUCGGGGAAGACUUCCUUCCCACCCACGCCCAACCUCCUCCCACAAGCAAAACAUUCCAGACAGGCCCCUAGCCUCCAAAUACCUCAGUUAACAGUAUUUCCCACACCUCCCUGCUUCCAGCUACAACGGCUCUUUUUCACCAAGCGGACCCCAGACUGGAGACACAGGGGUCGGCCUCGAAGGAUUUUAAACACUGGAAAGCAUCUGGCCAAUAAGAUUUCCCAAACCAAUUGGAUUUGUAAGCUGCCAGUUUAAGAGCUGGCCUUGUAAGGAUUCUUCACCAACUUGGCACACCGAAAAAUCAUCACAAUUAGGAACAGAAACAGAAGAACAACAAAGGCAAUGGCGAAGGCUUUGUCUACGUCAACACUGCUUGACAGGCUUGAAUCAUCCAUGAGAACACACACCUCUUUACCCUUGUUUAGCUGUAGCUACCUCUUCAGGUAUAUCUUCAGGUUUGUCAUAUUCCUAGACAAAAGAGGAUAAAACAAGCUUAUUGGUUCAUAUAUGUAUGCAUGUGUUUUCUUAAUAACAUUAUGUUAGGGACACCUGGGUGGCUCAGUGGUUGAGCAUCUGCCUUUGGCUCAGGGUCUGAUCCCAGAGUUCUGAGAUCGAGUCCCACAUCGGGCUCCCUGCAUGGAGCCUGCUUCUCCCUUUGCCUAUGUCUCUGCCUCUCUCUGUGUGUCUCUCGUGAAUAAAUAAAUAAAAUCUUUAAAAAAAAGUUGCA